rnacentral:rRNA from 1 species
AUUGAACGCUGGCGGCAGGCCUAACACAUGCAAGUCGAACGAGUGGCGGACGGGUGAGUAAUGUCUGGGAAACUGCCUGAUGGAGGGGGAUACCUACUGGAAACGGUAGCUAAUACUGCAUACCACUAGAUGUGUCCAGAGGGGAUUAGCUUGUUGGUGGGGUAACGGCUCACCAAGGCGACGAUCCCUAGCGGGUCUGAGAGGAUGACCAGCCACACUGGAACGGAGACACGGUCCAGACGCCGACGGGAGGCAUCAGUGGGGAAUAUUGCACAAUGGACGCAAGCCUGAUGCAGCCAUGCCGCGUGUAUGAAGAAGGCCUUCGGGUUGUAAAGUACUUUCAGCGGGGAGGCGUUACCCGCAGAAGAAGCACCGGCUAACUCCGUGCCAGCAGCCGCGGUAAUAC